GGUUCAUUCAAAUUUCUGCCCUAUCAACUUUCGAUGGUAAGGUAUUGGCUUACCAUGGUUUCAACGGGUAACGGGGAAUUAGGGUUCGAUUCCGGAGAGGGAGCCUGAGAAACGGCUACCACAUCCAAGGAAGGCAGCAGGCGCGCAAAUUACCCAAUCCCGACACGGGGAGGUAGUGACAAUAAAUACUGAUACAGGGCUCUUUUGGGUCUUGUAAUUGGAAUGAGUACAAUUUAAACCCCUUAACGAGGAACAAUUGGAGGGCAAGUCUGGUGCCAGCAGCCGCGGUAAUUCCAGCUCCAAUAGCGUAUAUUAAAGUUGUUGC
rnacentral:rRNA from 1 species